AUAUAUAUUGUAGAGAAUUGGGACUUCAGCCGCAUCCCAAAAAGCAGCGCAAAACCUUCUUCGUCUCCACAAAACUUGCAGAGGACAACUGGUCAGUCCAGGUUGAUUAGGGGUGACACUCAGCAUGGGGGAGAAGGUCGAAAACUAUUUGUACUUGCAAUUUAAGGAACAUCUUAGAAGGGUGAAUCUUAACAAGCUCGAGGAGCAAAAGGAAUCUCCUGAGUUUGAACUAGUGGCAGAUUUUCUGGAGGAGAAACUCCCCUAUGGAAUGUGUGUUUUUUUGCAAGAUUCGAAUAAAUUGUACAUGGUUGGAGGAGAAAGGAUUCGGAAGAAUGAAACAGCUGGAAGGUAUUGGUGGCAAGGAUUACCCGUUGCUGCAAACGAAUUAGACCCCUCUGGCCUCACUUGUGAUGUUUUUGUGUUAGAUUCCUCCAACGGAAAAAUCUCUGCUGCUCCUGGUUUUCCAAAACCAAAAGGACCAAAGAUCAAUGCCAAAGCUUUGGCCACCAUCGGUGACAAGGUAUACGUGAUGAGUUUUCGGCCAUAUUACUAUCGAGGUACGCUUCCAUCUCCGGCCUUUGAGUGCUAUGAUUCUGCAAAACAGUCAUGGGAGGAGCUGCCUGUGCCUCCAAAAUACUAUCAUUUGCGUUGUGCUUCUCCUACUCAUGGGUUUCAUUUUGUGCUGGGCCCAAAGAUUUAUUUGUGCACUCGUCAUGGGUUCUUUUGUUACAACGUGGAUCAGUCCCCACCUAAAUGGGAAUUCAUAGUAGAUGCAAAGUGGCAUUAUGAUUGGGACACCUCAUAUGAAACAGAAGUGGAAAUGGUAGACCACAAGAUUGAGGACUCCUCACUGCCUCUGAUACCGGCUUGGCCCUACCAUUCUAUAUGUUUUGCAGAACCAGGAAAAGGGGGCCUCGCCGUUGGCUAUACUGCCCAAGGAUUAGUGGGUUACUUCUUUGCGCCUAAUGGCGACCUACUGUAUCAAGAGCCACUUAAUCAGUUGAACAGCAACUCUAAGCUUCCCUCCCCCGAUAACUAUUUCUUUGGUGGAAAAGUUUGCUAUGUAGGUGAAAACAAAUUCUGUCUCAUUCUAUCCGGAGAAAUUGAUCAAACUUCAUGGUCGUUGGCUAUAGCAACUUUUGAUGUGAAAUGGAAAGCGGAUGUUCACAAUGGUGAUGGAGGAGGCUUCUACCAUGAUCUUCCUCUGUGUUAUCAUCAGUUUGACAAUAUUAAUUCGUCUUUUUCUAAUGCUUGCAAAUAUGAGAACAACGAGUCUCCGAGGCUUUAUGAUUACUUCAAUUUCCAGGAUGCCUUCGUCAUAUCCUCCGAGCCUAUGAGCCAGCGUCACCACAACCACAAGCGCAAGCGGAGUAUGAUGGGUGUAGGUUUUCAGUUGGUGUGAAUUGUCUAUGGUUGGGAGGGGUUAGAUAAGGCGUGCACAGUCGAUCGCUCUUGUUAAUGUUGGAUUUUAUGUAGAAAAUUACUCCACAGUUGGAUUUUGGACCUUUGGAGCUUUUCUUUUAGCUGCUUUUGUGCUAUAUAGCCAUGUCAAGCAAAUGGAAGAUGGAAAGUCUUGAAGAUUACCAUUUCUGGUUGCCCAAGUUUUCUUUCAUUUCAGUUCACUGGAAAAACAGUUGGUAUCCUCGGUUUGGGAAGAAUCAGCAAAGCAGUUGCCAAGAGAGCUGAGGCUUUUAGCUGUCCCAUCGCCUACUUUUCCAGAACAGAAAAACCAGAUUUGAAGUACAAGUAUUAUCCUACUGUUCUGGAAUUGGCCUCAUACUGUGUUGUUCUAGUUGUUGCAUGCUCACUUACUGAAGAAACCCGCCACAUCAUCAGUCGUGAAGUCAUUGAUGCUUUGGGGCCAAAGGGUGUUCUCAUUAACAUUGGGAGGGGCCAUCAUGUUGAUGAGCCUGAGUUGGUAUCUGCACUGCUAGAAGGCUGAUUAGGUGGAGCUGGCCUCGAUGUGUGGCUGCUUGAGCUUGAAAAUGUGGUGCUCUUGCCUUAUGCAGGAAGUGACACUACAGAAAAUUGCA